UACGGAUAAAAAAACUUGUAACAGCCCUGCCCAAAUUGCCCGUAACUAUUUAAUAUUCUAUCUUCACUUUCUUGAACCGUGGAUUCGAGCAACUCAGAGCUCUAACUGCUUGACUUCUAAUCUAAUAUGUCUUAACAUCUUGCAUAACACUAAUGGAAAAAAAAAUAAGGGUGAAUAAAACUUUUUAAGAGGAUAAACAAAUAACAAAAGGAAUUAAACAAGGAUUGAAAUAAACAUGUAUAAUACUAUAUCAUUCUUAAAAACCUUUAGUCUAAAGAAAAUAUCAUUACUAUUCUAAAUAUAAAUAUUUAAUUAAAAAC
rnacentral:lncRNA from 1 species